CACUGUUCCAACACUUCCUUCCUGAGGGGCAGGGCUGAGCCACCAUGGGCAUGACCCUCCCAGCUCUCUGCUGUUCCCUUUCUGCUGCACUUCAGGUAACAACCAAUAUAAUCUCCUGCCUCGGACUGGUCCAAAUCCUCCUUGUGCUUUGCAAUCACGCCUUUCACAAAAUAUUGAAGUUUCUCCCAGUGCCUGAAGAUUUUCCUGAAAGGUCCUGGCAACCAUCUCAUGAUGAGAGGAAAAGCAUUAUAGAGCUGGAAAAGGCAGAUUACACCAGUGCCUUAGAAACCUCAGUUUCUGAGCUGUUCCGUGCAGCUGAAGCUGGAAAAACAUCCAAGUGACUUUACCUGGCCCCAGAAACUUCCGAUGAGCAGCAGCGUUUCAGCCAGGGAGUGCAGCAGUUCCUGGAAACGGUUGUCAUGGUAGUCAAAGCGGUUCCCAAAAGUUAUGGAACAGAUGAUGUUCGAAACGGCACUGUUGAUUUUGUAAUGAGGGUCAAAGGGCUGUCCUGGAGGAAAGAAAAGGAAAGGAAACUGCCUGAAGGGAGGUUUGGCCGGGUGGGAGUUGGUCUUGUCUCCCAAGGAACAAGAGAUAAGAGAAAUCAGCCACAAGUUGUGCCAGAGGAGAUUUUGACUGGAUGUGGGGGAAAAUGUCUUCAUUUGAAAGGAUGGCUUUGGAAGGGCUGCCCAGGGCAGUGGUGGAGUCACCAUUCCUGGAGUGUUUGAAAGGUGUGUGGAUGUGGCAUUUGGGCCAUGGUUUACUGGUGAACACGGCAGUGCUGGGUUAAUGUUUGGACUCAAUGAACUCAAGUAUC